CCGUGUUCCAGGCCGUGUUCCCGGCCGUGUUCCCGGCUGCAGCCCCGCGGCGCCGCCGCUCCGCCCCGCUCCCUGCGCGCUCCCGCCGCUCCCGGCCGGCGCUCCCUCCACCGCUGCAAAGGGAACUUCUGUUCGCUGGGCUCUGCUGUGCUGCUGUGAAACGGCACAAAAUGAGGUACACCGUGUGCUUCUACUCUAGAGAGCAGGUAUAAUGUCUGUAAUUACACCACAACUGCACGGCAAAUACCAGGCAUUCUUCAUGAGCAACAUCAAGAAGUGUAACAUGCUAAUAGCUAAUAACAGGGGACAGACCUGUUGUGAUCUUAAAAUCUGAAAAUAUUGAGGACUGCAGAGGGAAGAGGUUACCCAGAGCAGGAUAGCAAACAUUUGGCCAGGAAUUAAGUUCUCCAGUACACUAUUCUAAGAAACUCAGCUCUGAAUGAGCUCUGCACCAGGACUUAUCACCUCCCUUACUGGACAAAACCAACGUUACUUCAGAGUCCAAUCAUGUCCCUUUUCAGGUUUUUAGCACCAUUUUUUCUUCCAUAACUCAGCUAUACAUUGCUGUGGAAUUUGAUAUUGAGGAAAAAAAUUGAUCAAGUCUGCUCUAGGCCAGCACUGGUCAGCAAGGGCACAAGCAGGAGGGUUUGAGCUGGUGCCUGCUCCUGCCUUGGCUCUUGGGACAUCACCAUCCUGCAGCUGCAAGAAGGACAAAGGGCUGAGGGCAGCUUGUCUACUUCACUGCAAAGUUACUUUCCUGACUGGUAUAUUUUUGCAGCUCUAAGAUGUUACCUAGUUACCAGUGAAUCAUAGCCUGGUAACCACUCAGAGAAUUCUGGGGUUUAUUUACAACAAGGUAAGUGACCCUGAAUAAGUCAGGCUGGGGACACUUAGGCUGUCCGAUUGUACAAGAGGAAGAGACUCACACGAAAUUUAUUUGAAGUGUUAAGAUUAAACCUGCAGCAUGAAAUUCAUUACCAUUAGUCUUGACAACAUUAACUCUAUUUAAAAUCUAUUGAACUGGUUUAAAAUUAAACUUCAGGUUCCCUUCACCUGCAACCCAGCCCUGAAGCUGUCGAACCCUGUGUUGCCCAUCCCAUGCCAGAUUUUCCCAUUUGGUUGGAAGAUCGCUAUUAAUAAGUGGAUUAUUAAUAAGUGGAUAUUAAAAAAAGAGG